AUGUUAGGAGAAAACAUCAACUUUCUUUGCUGGAAUGUAAGGGGCCUAAACUGUGUCAAUCGGCGUUCCACCGUUUAUGAAACCAUUGCAGCAACAACCUGUCAUGUUGCCUGCCUACAGGAGACCAAACUUGAUCAUAUGGACCAAUUCAUUGCCUCUUACCUGGGUGGUAAUAGGCUGCGCAGCUUUGCUCAUCGGCCAGCUACUGGCACUAGGGGUGGCAUACUGAUGUUAUGGGACGACAAUGCUGUCCAGAUUUCCGACGUGGUCAGCACCGUCUACUGUCUCUCGGCCAUGGUUCUCAUACGUGCAACUGGGAAUAUGUUCAAGAUCACUACGGUGUAUGGCCCAACUGAACCUUCUUGCAAAGACGCAUUCUUUGCGGAACUGCUCGCCCAAAAGCCAGCGCCCGGGACCAAAUGGCUCGCGUUGGGCGAUUUCAAUCAAAUCUAUCGCGCUAGGGACAAAAAUAAGAGGAAUAUCAAUCGCUCACGCAUCAACCGUUUUCGCAACGCCCUUCAUGCUUGUGAGCUCAACGAAAUACAUCUUCAGAACCGCAAGUUCACUUGGAGCAAUGAAAGAGAUAACCCGACUCUGUGCAAGUUAGAUGCAUUUUUUUUGCAACGUUGA
rnacentral:rRNA from 1 species